CUCAACAUUUGAUGUUGUGAUAUAAUAUAAACACUAAUUUUGACUAAUAUUGUCAGAAGGAAGAGCACCUCGAACUAAAUUAAAGUAUGGGGCGUUGAGCGAAUGCGCGUUCACGCGAAGAAGGGUUGUAAUAUGCAGGGGGGUCAAAAUUCGGCACAACACCGGAACCACUGUGUCCGAGUGUCUUGACUUCGACCCUGAACACACCUGUAGAUCUGAACCUCCCGCAAGCAGAACACACAGUGCGUUUACAUGGGAUAGCUCGGAUUAAACUUUAUACCGAUUUUGCUACUCGAACGGACCGUGUCAAUUAUCCGAACGUACAUGGCCUUUAGAGAUCGGAUAUUGGCGGAGCAUGGCUGAAUCCGCUACCCUAGGUGCCUAUGUAGCCCUUUCAACAAGUGGUUAUAGAACUUCCGGUUGACCUCUACUGUAAAAAAUGUAUGUUAAGUUGCACACUUCACGUUAGAAUGCAGCUGCAGGCUUACAUUCCCCAUGGGUAACUUUCUGUUUACAUCUAUAUGUGAUGUAUGUAUGCUACAUAUGUUAUGUUAUGUAUUCUCUGCAAUAAAUUAUUUUUCUGUUUAAUAGCAUCAUGUCGAUGGCAGAAGGGACAUCCGUUGCUUAGUUGAGUAUCUUGGAGAGAGUGGAGAGGAGCUGAUCAAAGACUAUCAGGACGUCAGCCAGAAGCAGUGAAAGAGGACUGCAGUAAUCACAUGAUGAAGAUCAACGUCAUCCAUCCCAAUGUGGCACAGGAAAACCAAGAUCCCGUGUAUGUGUCAGUCCUCAUUGAGGGGACAGAAGUUCUGGAGGACUGCAUAAGCGUGACAAACGCUUGCCUCCUGCUCAUGGGUGUCAUCUAUGCUGUCAACUUAAGUUACCCACUAAAACUGAAAUAUAUGUUUGAAGCAUUUCAGAAGCUGUUUCUUGAGCUUGACGUCAUUACAAUGUCACCAAAGGUCCAGUCUCUCCACAAUAUACUUUUAGCGUGAGUGUUCCAGUGCUAUUUGUGCUUUUGUCCAGCACAAACAAUCUCUUUACAUUUUGUCAUUUUUCUGACAGAAAUUUCAAGUGUUGCUUAGUCUUUAAGUUAUUUCUGUCCUGAACAUCCUGAGAAUGUCCGCAAAGGUAGUCAUUGCAACUGUUAAUGGACAGAGUUUAUGCAUGCAUUCUUUGCUGUUCUGAAAAGUCAACUGUAACACUGUAUUCGUUUGUAUGCUGGAAUAUCGGUCCUAAAGUCAGUUGGUGCUUUGUCAUUCCGCAAUAAAUUGUUCAAAUUCUACACUGCUUUACUUUUGAGCUUUUGUGUGUGUGUGUGUGUGUGUGUGUGUGUGUGUGUGUGUGUGUGUGUGUGUGUGUGUGUGUGUGUGUGUGUGUGUGUGUGUGUGCGCGUGUGCGUGUGUGUGUGUGUACACUGUUUUCAAAUUUGCUAGCAAGAAGUUCUGUGUGGUUAUGAUGUUGUUCUAUACUAACUUGUACUUAUAUAAUAUAAUAAAGAACGAGACGGGCACGGUAGAUUAA